AUUGAACGCUGGCGGCAUGCCUUACACAUGCAAGUCGAACGGCAGCACGGGGGCAACCCUGGUGGCGAGUGGCGAACGGGUGAGUAACACAUCGGAACGUGCCCGGUAGUGGGGGAUAGCUCGGCGAAAGCCGGAUUAAUACCGCAUACGACCUACGGGUGAAAGCGGGGGAUCGCAAGACCUCGCGCCAUCGGAGCGGCCGAUGUCAGAUUAGGUUGUUGGUGGGGUAAAGGCCACCAAGCCGACGAUCUGUAGCUGGUCUGAGAGGACGACCAGCCACACUGGGACUGAGACACGGCCCAGACUCCUACGGGAGGCAGCAGUGGGGAAUUUUGGACAAUGGGCGAAAGCCUGACGCAGCAACGCCGCGUGAGGGAAGACGGCCUCGGUUGUAACGUAC
rnacentral:rRNA from 1 species